rnacentral:ncRNA from 1 species
UUUCACUAGGGGAGCUGCACGUGCAGCUGAGAGGCCUUAGGGCCGACCCUUGGAACCUGUCGGGUUAGGACCUGCGUAGGGAAGUGGCAUACU